GAUGAACGCUCGCGGCAGGCCUAACACAUGCAAGUCGAGGGAUAAGCCUUCGGGCUAAGACCGGCGCACGGGUGCGUAACGCGUAUACAAUCUGCCUUUUAUCCGGGUGAUAGCCCGAAGAAAUUUGGAUUAAUACCCUAUGGUAUAAGAGCACGGCAUCGUGCACUUAUUAAAGCUACGGCGGUAAAAGAUGAGUAUGCGUUCUAGUAGCUAGUUGGAGAGGUAACGGCUCCCCAAGGCGACGAUAGAUAGGGGUUCUGAGAGGGAUGUCCCCCACACUGGUACUGAGAUACGGACCAGAGUCCUACGGGAGGCAGCAGUGAGGAAUAUUGGACAAUGGUCGGAAGACUGAUCCAGCCAUGCCGCGUGCAGGAUGACGGCCUUAUGGGUUGUAAACUGCUUUUGUAAGGGAAGAAUAAGGAGUACGUGUACUUUGAUGACGGUACCUUACGAAUAAGCAUCGGCUAACUCCGUG
rnacentral:rRNA from 1 species